ACUUUUUUGGAAUCUGGCAUGUACUGUAUAUUAGAUUGUAAGCUCUGAGGAGCAGGUUGUCUCUUUCUUUCCAGGGUCAGCUCUCCGGAGCUUUAUAUUACAUACAUAUAUACAGCAAUAUGCAGCAGGACAGAUGUAAUCCAGGGAAUUAUCCGAUCGCCACAUCUGGGGUCAGGAAGGAAUUUUUUUUCCCCCUGAGGUAGAAAUCUCCGGGGGGUUUGUUCGCCUUCCUCUGGAUCUCUGGAUCCGGUGGCUCUCAUCUCAGGACAGUGGUGGACUGGUCUGAAUGACUGCAGCAAGUUCUGUGGUCUCCACCGGUCCUGACCUGAGAGUCACUGUGAUCCCUGUUUAUUUUAUUAAAGGGCCAGUAAUAUUUUAUUACAAUGUUGCUUAUUGCUA